AGCUUUGCGCAGUGGCAGUAUCAUAGCCAAUGAGGUUUAUCCGAGGCAUGAUUAUUACCCAUUGAAAAAAAAUUGUAUUGUUUUCUUCUUUCUAUGUCCAUGAGGGUUUACAUCUUAAAAGAAAAUAUUUUAUUAUCAUUUUAUUGU